rnacentral:tRNA from 2 species
CAGAGAAUAGUUUAUAAAAAAUAUUAAUUUUGGAGAUUAAAGAUAUACAUUGUAUUUCUCUGA